UUUGUGAAACAAAAGUAUCAUAAGGAAACUGAAAACGUAUAGCAACAUAGUUCAUUCCAUUUCUUAAAUUUCCUCACUUUGGAUGCAUUUCAUUUUUAAUUAGGCAAAUUAAGAAAAGGAAGGGGUUCGGCCAUGGCUGCUUUCGGCCAUGGCAGUCCAAUAUAUAUUAAAAAAAAAAAAAAGUGGUUUUUUCUUGCUUAGAUUAGUUCCAAGGUGAUUUGCAAGUUCAAGGAGUUGAUAGCAACAUUGGAUAUUGAAUCGAGGAAGGAGAAAUUGCGAAAUUGGAGCAAUUAAGCGUAGAAAUUCCUCCGAGAAAAUUGUGGCUAAAAGAGCGACGAGACGAACGGUUUUACGAUUAGUCGUCAACAGGUACAGACGCUCGUUUUGGUGAUCCGCCAGCUUAGGAUAUAUAUUCAGCUAUCUUGGAGUGCUCCCUUGUUCCGGAGCCUAGCUUUGUGGUACAGAUCCUCCUAUUGUAUAUAUAUGUCUACCCAAGGGUACGACGGGGCCCUGUCCCGUCAUAUGAUACUGUUGUUACUCUUAGAGGUCUAUAGACAUAUGUGUGGGUCUGUAUAUAGUUGCUGUUUAGUUGUGUGGAUAUGACUUAUGUUUUGGGGCGUACCCAUUCGUAGUGGCAGCCUUGUCGGCUUGUGUAUAUAUAUGUUUUGGGAUGUUGUGUGUAGUGGCAGCCUUGUCGGCUUGCGUAGAUAUAUAUACGUAUGUGUUUUGGAAGCCGUGUGUUAUGGUAGCCUUGUUGGCUCGUGUUUGGCUGGGGCGUUCCCCCUAUAUUGUGAUGGCCUUGCCGGCUUAUGUGCGAUAUUAUCUGUUGAAAUUUGUAACUCCUCAGGAGACAGGUUGCUAUGACAUAUAUAUAUGUGACAGUUUUAGGA